AUUGUUGGGACCUGGGUUGUUCUUCAAGAAGGAGUGCUGUUUAGCCAGAGAGCUCUUUAACCACUUGGAUUCAGGCUGUAGUGUGAGAAGGUCAGAUGUACCACUAAUUUAAACUUGUUAUGUUUUAUAGGAUGUGAUGGAGGAAUGACUACUUCAAGAAGAGCUGGAUCCACAAGCCUGGAAUAACAGUAAUAGCCUAUUUGGUUGGCUACCAUCUCAGAAAGAUGCAUUCUGAUAUGAGCAGAAAUUACAAAGAUAGGGUUGCAGCCAAGUUUGACAGCAGAAUGGGGAGCUGGAAGAUGAUUGCCUUCAAAUUUCAUGAAAAAAGUAUUAUUGAAGAAAUGCAGAUCCUAUGGAGGAACUGAACCACUAAGCAUGGAAUUCAGAAAUGCAGAUUUUAAAGCUCAAGCUUGUUUUUCCAUGGAAAGGAUGCAGUGAGAGGAGACAUCCCAUUACUGCUUGUGCAGAACUGCUAGAUUAAUUAGUGUUGAAACCUGCUGUCAAUUCCUUGUUCAUUUGAUAACUAGAACAAGGCAUUUUUUAUUCAGUCUGAAAAUGGAGGUGUGUCAACCAGAAGAUUUGCAUUUUUCUUUUUAUUUCCAAGAAUGAUGAUCAAAGCUUUGUAAGAAUAAAUUUGUGAAACUUGCAGAAAAUUUCUUCUUUCAAGCAGGUUAAUUGUCAACUAUGAAAUCCCCUCUUGGGGAAAAAAAGCAAGCUGUAGAACUGUAUGUAAUUUUUAAGAACUUUGCACUUGCACUCAAAAAAGCUGUUAGUGGAAGUGUAUAUAAUCCAGUGUAUAUUGGCAUAAAAAUGUCUGGUAAUAAAAAAUAAGUGUCAGUUGCGCAAAAGCCCACAGAAGCAUGGUACAUAGAGUUGUGAUUAUGACCAAUGGGAAUAUUACACAUUUCACCUCAAACAUAGAUGCUCACCCUCAUAAGUUCUGUUUCAAUGUUUGCAUGCAACAAAUGCUACCAAAGUGCUCAUGCCAAAGGCUUCAAAGUUCAAGUGGAGACAGUGUCAACAGAGCUAACACACCCCUCCUCCCACAAUAAUUAUUGAUAAAUUAUAUUAAAUUCUAGAGAUGUGUUAUCAUAUUAAACACUACUCAAGAAAACCCAUAUGCUCCUCAUUAUUUGCCCUACAUAUUGUUGACUCUACAUGUUGUACAGAUGCAUAAAUGUCACCGUUUGCUUUGGGCCAUCUCAUGUAAUCAGUGUGUGCGUCUCUGUUAUGGUGAAGGGGACUGAUGUCUAGAGAAGGCUGAAAUCUUUCUGGAUGGCUGAACAAAUUAACUGUUGGAUACGCAGAACUGCCUGCAGCAGCAGGAAUAAAAUUACAUUACAUUCAACCUUUGUGCAAGAGUUGCAAUAAGAGUAGUUUUGAGUUGCAAUUAGAAAGAGAAUAAAUCAAAAUACUUCCUAGAGAGAAAAAAACCUAGAGGCAAAAUGUCUAAGUACCUCAUUCAUUUUGUAUAUUUCAUAUCUCUAUCUACAGUGUGGUGAAAAGUAUAAUUACAACAUACAAAGGCAUAUCUGGUUUGUAGCCAACAUAGCUGAUUCCCAGUGUUUUAAAGAUAGUGUUCUUUAAAGUAAUCACCAUUUCAGAAUAAUCAUAAUCAGUAGUAAAGGUAAAGGUAUAAUGAUAAAUAGUAAAGGUAAUAAUGAUUUCAGAAAGGGAGGGAACAUCCAAAGAGAUAAGUCCAUUCUGGUUUGGUGAAAAUAAGACUAAAAUUGUGAGAAUCAGACAUGCAAAAUGCAAAUUAAUAUUCUUUAAAAUAGUACAACUGACAUUAAACUUGAGCCUUCUCUCUAGAUGGGUAUCUCAUGUACUCUUGUACAUAUUAUCUAUAAUCAGGCUUAUAAUUGCACUGUUGAUGAAGUUGCUGUUAAAAAUAUUCUCAAAAUUAUUCAUAAAUUAAAAGAUGAAUCUGAAGUGUUAGCACUUUUAUCUGAUCAUAGUGGAUAGGCUGAAUGUGUAACACCAGUUUAUAAAGUGCAGUCUUUUUUUUUUUUUUUUAAGAGCUUUAUUUUCUGUUGGCUUCAGGAGUGUGCGUAUGAAACAAAGUACUGCAGAUAUUUCAGGAGAUGUGUGACUACACAGAAAUGUAAAAAAUGGAGGAUGUAGCAGAGUACUAAAUAUUAGUAUACAAGAGAACAGUAUUUUCUUCCUCUUUUCCCUUUCCGUGGUAGAUUCUUUUAAUUGGAAAAAGUGAGCUAUUAAACACAGCUUGUUUAGAUACUCAAAAUAUUCCCAAUGUUUUAUGCAUGCAGGUUGAUUGCAAAUGUAUCAUGACUAAUUUAUUUCUCAAUUAAUGAUAGCACAUUAACUAAAAUAUUUGUCUGCUUGGACGUUUUUUUAGAUAGUUAGUAAACUAACUCUGGUUCUGUGCAGCUGCGUUUCAAUUUCUGUAAAGAAAUGCUGUUUGC
ensembl:lncRNA